UACGUAGGCAGCGAGCGUUGUUCGGAGUUACUGGGCGUAAAGCGUGCGUAGGCGGUUUUGUAAGUUUGGUGUGAAAUCUCCCGGCUCAACUGGGAGGGUGCGCCGAAAACUGCAAGGCUGGAGUGUGGGAGAGGUAGGCGGAAUUCCUGGUGUAGCGGUGAAAUGCGUAGAUAUCGUUUGGAACGCCAAUGGUGAAAACAGGUAACUGGGAGUGUGCCGACGCUGAGACACGAAAGCCAGGGGAGCAAACGGGG
rnacentral:rRNA from 1 species